UUGAUUCCAGAGCGCGAUGGAUGUGGAAUGACAGAUCGGAACUCGGAACCGGAGCGAUGAGUAGCGUCGUGAUUUGUUUAACAAAACGCGGCGGACCGGGCAGACUUGGCGGACUUGGCGGACCGAGCGGACCGAGCGGACCGAGCGGACCGGGCGGACCGGGCGAACGCAACGAACCGGGCGGACGCAUGCAGCACGAAUCGAAACAGGAGCGAGCGGAGCGGCGUCGCUACUCGUUUAACAGAACGAGGCAUACGCAAAAAGGAUCAACUCCGGAACAAAUGGCGUCACGAUUUAUCUAAUUAAGCAAACGAUUCAUUUAACAAUAAAUCGUAUGUAUUACAAUUCCAUUAUUGGACAUUGUGAGACCAUAAUCUGAAGAGAAGAUUUGACAACUUAGAAAUAAAUCAGAUUGAGGGAGAUAUCGGGAAUCUGUGGAGCAACCUUUUGCGAUUUAUCGUAGUGACGUAUGUGUGAUAAUUCCACUGUUGCGCAUCGAUUGUGAACUUUCCAUGUAUGUACAACACUCGUCGACGAUUUAAAAGAAAAUAAGCGAACCGUAACCGGUUCGUCGCGUCGCGCGUUUGUUUCGGGAGUGCCGUUUAAAGUAAUUGGAUUUAAUUAAUCCACGGGCGCAAUUUUAGUGUAUUUAACGCGAGUGUUCCGCGAGUGCAACGAAACGAGGAGGUUCAAUAACUCGGAUUUGAGAGGAGGAGGAGGCCUAGGAGGCAUCGUGCGUUGGCGUACUUUUGAUUAAUAUUGCAGGAUCUGAGAGGAGGAGGAGGCCUGGGAUAGGCAUCCG